rnacentral:rRNA from 1 species
CGACGAUACAUAGCCGACCUGAGAGGGUGAUCGGCCACACUGGGACUGAGACACGGCCCAGACUCCUACGGGAGGCAGCAGUAGGGAAUCUUCGGCAAUGGGGGCAACCCUGACCGAGCAACGCCGCGUGAGUGAAGAAGGUUUUCGGAUCGUAAAGCUCUGUUGUAAGAGAAGAACGUGUGUGAGAGUGGAAAGUUCACACAGUGACGGUAACUUACCAGAAAGGGACGGCUAACUACGUGCCAGCAGCCGCGGUAAUACGUAGGUCCCGAGCGUUGUCCGGAUUUAUUGGGCGUAAAGCGAGCGCAGGCGGUUUAAUAAGUCUGAAGUUAAAGGCAGUGGCUUAACCAUUGUUCGCUUUGGAAACUGUUAAACUUGAGUGCAGAAGGGGAGAGUGGAAUUCCAUGUGUAGCGGUGAAAUGCGUAGAUAUAUGGAGGACACCGGUGGCGAAAGCGGCUCUCUGGUCU